rnacentral:tRNA from 1 species
GCCCCUGUGGCGCAAUGGUAGCGCAUCAGACUUCUACUUAUGAAACUUCCAAUCUGGGGAUUGCGGGUUCGAGUCCCGCCAGGGGUU